ACGCUCGACACCUACGGGAGCGCAGCAGUGGGGAAUAUUGCACAAUGGGGGAAACCCUGAUGCAGCGACGCCGCGUGAGCGAAGAAGUAUCUCGGUAUGUAAAGCUCUAUCAGCAGGGAAGAAGAUGACGGUACCUGACUAAGAAGCACCGGCUAAAUACGUGCCAGCAGCCGCGGUAAUCUGAGCGGGCUGGCAAGGC
rnacentral:rRNA from 1 species